AUGGUGACGGCGAAUCUGCAGCGUUCCCUCGCCGUGCCCCCUUCCAUCAGGGCGUCUCCCUCGCCGACCGCCGGCGGCGCUGCCGUCGUGCAGGAAGGCAAUGGCAGGGACCUGGACUCGGCGGAGCAACUGGUGCUCGACCUCUGCGACCCCGCGCUGCGCGAGCACGCCCUCUUGGUCAUCUCUAAGAAAAAGGAGAUUUUUCAAGAUGCGUUGGCCCCGCUGUUGUGGUACUCGUUUGGUACUAUUGCUGCUCUACUAAAGGAAAUUGUGUCAAUCUAUCCUGCACUUGACCCUCCAACUUUAUCACUAGGUGCAUCAAACCGAGCCUGCAACGUACUUGCACUCUUUCAGUGUAUUGCAUCACACCCCAAGACAAGGAUGCUUUUCUUGAACGCUAAUAUUCCAAUCUUCAUGUAUCCCUUCAUGGUCACGAAAACCAACACAAGACCUCUUGAGCACUUGCGGCUUGCCAGCUUGGGUGUUAUAGGCGCUCUUGUCAAGACCGAUGAUCCUGGCGUUGUUGAGUUUCUGCUGAGAACUGAAAUAAUUCCUACAUGCCUGUUUUGCAUGGAGAACGGCGAUGAGCUGUCAAAAACCGUGGCUACCUUCAUUGUCCGAAGGAUUAUCUGUGAUGAUCUUGGAUUGCGUUACAUCUGCACCAACGCUGAGCGUCUGCUUGCUGUGGUCCAGGUUUUAGCGCAGAUGGUAAAUUCUGAGUAUCAGCUUGCUGUGGCCUCUGUUCAGCGUUAUCCUGCAAAGUUGCUCAAGCACGUUAUCCGGUGUUUUCACGGGUUAUCAGCUGAUGCCAGGGCAUGCGCUGCAUUGCAAAUCAUCCUCCCUGACGUGCUGAAAGAUGGGAAGGUUGAUACGUACCUUGUGGAUGACCUUGCAACAAGGCGCUGCCUCCAGCAACUGCUGCAUAAUGUGAAAGUGGGAGGCAUGGGAGGAGCUCCUCGGCCAGGCCUGGAUCACAUGAUGGGGAUUCUAACAAUUUAG
rnacentral:rRNA from 1 species